CAAAAGGUUCUUUUCAGAACCACCAAAAAUUGAAGAAAUCGGUAU
rfam:Beta vulgaris subsp. vulgaris contig162016.1, whole genome shotgun sequence.